rnacentral:misc_RNA from 1 species
GCGCGCGCAUGACGAAUGCCGACAGAGGGAUUGCCGGUGGCCUCGACGAUCACCUCGACAUUGCCGCCGGUCGCAGCGGCCCCAUCCUUGGUGAAAGUGGUGGCGGGGAUCUGCGCACAGCCCACCGUGCGGCAGGCAUCGCGCGCACGCUCGGGGUCGAGAUCAACAAUCACCGGCACUUCAAGGCCCGGCGUGUGCGGUACCUGAGAGAGGAACAUCGAGCCGAAUUUCCCGGCGCCGAUCAG